rnacentral:rRNA from 1 species
AUUGAACGCUGGCGGCAGGCCUAACACAUGCAAGUCGAGCGGAGCGGCGGACGGGUGCGUAAUGCCUAGGAAUCUGCCUGGUAGUGGGGGAUAACGUCCGGAAACGGGCGCUAAUACCGCAUACUAUCAGAUGAGCCUAGGUCGGAUUAGCUAGUGGGUGGGGUAAAGGCCUACCAAGGCGACGAUCCGUAACUGGUCUGACAGGAUGAUCAGUCACACUGGAAGUGGGACACGGUCCAGACUCCUACGGGAGGCAGCAGUGGGGAAUAUUGGACAAGGGGCGAAAGCCGGAUCCAGCCAUGCCGCGUGUGUGAAGAAUGUCCUCGGAUUGUAAAGCACUUUAAGUUUGGAGGCGUUACCAACAGGAUAAGCACCGGCUAACUGCGUGCCAGCCGCCGCGGUAAUAC